rnacentral:rRNA from 1 species
GAUGAACGCUGGCGGCGUGCUUAACACAUGCAAGUCGAGCGAGUGAGUUCUUCGGAACGAUCUAGCGGCGGACGGGUGAGUAACACGUGGGCAACCUGCCUCAUAGAGGGGAAUAGCCUCCCGAAAGGGAGAUUAAUACCGCAUAACAUCAUUGAAGGGCAUCCUUCGAUGAUCAAAGGAGCAACCCGCUAUGAGAUGGGCCCGCGGCGCAUUAGCUAGUUGGUGAGGUAACGGCUCACCAAGGCGACGAUGCGUAGCCGACCUGAGAGGGUGAUCAGCCACAUUGGGACUGAGACACGGCCCAGACUCCUACGGGAGGCAGCAGUGGGGAAUAUUGCACAAUGGGGGAAACCCUGAUGCAGCAACGCCGCGUGAGUGAUGACGGCCUUCGGGUUGUAAAGCUCUGUCUUUGGGGACGAUAAUGACGGUACCCAAGGAGGAAGUCACGGCUAACUACGUGCCAGCCGCCGCGGUAA